rnacentral:snoRNA from 1 species
CCCCCCUCAGGGUCGUUCCUGGAGAGUUUCCAGUCCUCUACCAGGCUCGGCUAUGGGAGGGAGAAUCAAGCAGAGGCCUCCCCACUCCAUUCCUAGCUUGGGCAGUGGCUAGCGAGUGGAAGGCAAUCUGCUACAAGU